rnacentral:rRNA from 1 species
AUUGAACGCUGGCGGCAGGCUUAACACAUGCAAGUCGAGCGAGCGGCGGACGGGUGAGUAAUGUCUGGGAAACUGCCUGAUGGAGGGGGAUAACUACUGGAAACGGUAGCUAAUACCGCAUACCAUCGGAUGUGCCCAGCUGGGAUUAGCUAGUAGGUGGGGUAACGGCUCACCUAGGCGACGAUCCCUAGCUGGUCUGCGAGGAUGACAAGCCACACUGGAGCUGAGACACGGGCCAGACUCCUACGGGAGGCAGCAGUGGGGAAUAUUGCACAAGGGGCGCAAGCCUGAUGCAGCCAUGCCGCGUGUAUGAAGAAGGCCUUCGGGUUGUAAAGUACUUUCAGCGAGGAGGCGUUACUCGCAGAAGAAGCACCGGCUAACUCCGUGCCAGCAGCCGCGGUAAUUC